rnacentral:rRNA from 1 species
CCUACGGGUGGCAGCAGUGGGGAAUAUUGCACAAUGGGGGAAACCCUGAUGCAGCGACGCCGCGUGAAGGAAGGAGUAUUUCGGUAUGUAAACUUCUAUCAGCAGGGAAGAAAAUGACGGUACCUGACUAAGAAGCCCCGGCUAACUACGUCCCAGCAGCCGCGGUAAUACGUAGGGGGCAAGCGUUAUCCGGAUUUACUGGGUGUAAAGGGAGCGUGGGCGGUGCAGCAAGUCAGAAGUGAAAGCCCGGGGCUCAACUCCGGGACUGCUUUUGAAACUGUUGAACUAGAUUGCAGGAGAGGUAAGUGGAAUUCCUGGUGUAGCGGUGAAAUGCGGAGAUAUCAGGAGGAACACUGGUGGCGAAGGCGGCCUGCUGGACUGCAACUGACGUUGAGGCACGAAGGCGUGGGGAGCAAACAGGAUUAGAUACCCGUGUAGUC